CUCGCAGACAUGCCCAGGCAGUGACUCAGUGUGUGGUGGGGCGCCUUACUUUGGAGGAGUUUGCUUGCCAAAGGAGGGCCAGGUGUGGGUGAGACAGACUUGUGAAAAAGUACAACUCCUUCAGGAGGGAGUCAGAUGUCAUGGAUCUCAGGAAGUGUGUUGUGACAACUUCAUAUUCAAAUCAGUGCGCUCCGGUUCUCACUGUCUCCGCAUAGACACAGCAAAACCCCCAGAGACACACACGGAGACAGGAAUGUGGUGGUUCUGCAGACACGAGCACAUGGCUGUGACCAAGACAGCAGGUGGAAAGACCAGAAUGGCCUGAAGUUUGGUAGUCGUGUUGGGGCAUGAAGCUGCUGAGUGUUUACCUCAAGUCAAAAUAAAUCAGCAGACUGUGUUUGAGAUUAAUCUAGUUCUAUUAAUACAACAUGUAAUCGAAAUUACACAAGGGUUCCACAAAACAUGAAUGGAGAGCUCUGAUGAAUGAAUACGUUGUUACAGCCACUGAGAACA